GACGAACGCUGGCGGCGUGCUUAACACAUGCAAGUCGAGCGGAGCGGCGAACUGGUGAGUAACGCGUUAGUAACUGCCCCCCUGUCUUGGAUAACAGGUGGAAACGGGUGCUAAUACCGGAAAGUUGGGGAUGGUUAGCGUCCGAGCGGAUUGUGGGGGGGGUAGGGGCUUACCCAGGAGACGAGGGGGAGCCGGCCUGAGGGGGCGACCGGCAACAUUGGGCGGAGAUACGGGCCGAACUCCUACGGGAGGCAGCAGUGGGGAAUAGUGCACGAUGGGGGAAGCGCUGAUGCAGGAACGCCGCGUGCGGGAUGACGGCCUUCGGGUUGUAAACAGCGUGCAGCCAUGACGCGGUAGUGGCAGAAGAAGCACCGGCUAACUACGUGCCAGCAGCCGCGGUAAUUC
rnacentral:rRNA from 1 species